rnacentral:lncRNA from 1 species
GGGUGUGUAGCUAAGCUCUAGCUUCUCAUCUCAAGGAGGUGAGCUUAGCUAUUAGAGAGGUAUGUGUAGCUAAGCUCUAGCUUCUUUAGGAAUCUUCUUAAGGAAGCUUCUCAAGGAGGUGAGCUUAGUUAUAAGAGGGGUGUGUGUAGCUAAGCUCUAGCUUCUCAAGGAAGUUUUCUCAAAGAAGCUUCUCAAGGAAG